rnacentral:RNase_P_RNA from 1 species
CGGGUUGGCCGGAUGAUCGCGGCGUGCUCGUCACGCCGAGGAAAGUCCGUACUCCAAGGAGCGCGAAACCGGGGAAACCCCGGGACGGGGCAACCUGUCGGAAAGGGCCACAGAAACAUACCGCCCGCGAGGGUAAGGGUGAAAUGGUGGUGCAAGAGACCACCGGGACAUGCAGCAAUGCGUUCGCCGGGCAACCCCUUUCGGGAGCAAGGUCAAAUAGAGGCUUGCCAGUCACAGGCAGCUCACCUGGCCGGCUCGCGCCGGCGGCCUCAGGUAGACCGCGUAGACAGAUGGUCAUCCAGGCGGGUUUAUCCUGCCGGACAGAAUGCGGCUUACAGGUCAACCCGGACU